UCGAACGAUGAUCCGGUGCUUGCACCGGGGAUUAGUGGCGAACGGGUGAGUAACACGUGAGUAACCUGCCCUUAACUCUGGGAUAAGCCUGGGAAACUGGGUCUAAUACCGGAUAUGACUGACUAUCGCAUGGUGGUUGGUGGAAAGCUUUUUGUGGUUUUGGAUGGACUCGCGGCCUAUCAGCUUGUUGGUGAGGUAAUGGCUUACCAAGGCGACGACGGGUAGCCGGCCUGAGAGGGUGACCGGCCACACUGGGACUGAGACACGGCCCAGACUCCUACGGGAGGCAGCAGUGGGGAAUAUUGCACAAUGGGCGCAAGCCUGAUGCAGCGACGCCGCGUGAGGGAUGACGGCCUUCGGGUUGUAAACCUCUUUCAGUAGGGAAGAAGCGAAAGUGACGGUACCUGCAGAAGAAGCGCCGGCUAACUACGUGCCAGCAGCCGCGGUAAUACGUAGGGCGCAAGCGUUAUCCGGAAUUAUUGGGCGUAAAGAGCUCGUAGGCGGUUUGUCGCGUCUGCCGUGAAAGUCCGGGGCUCAACUCCGGAUCUGCGGUGGGUACGGGCAGACUAGAGUGAUGUAGGGGAGACUGGAAUUCCUGGUGUAGCGGUGAAAUGCGCAGAUAUCAGGAGGAACACCGAUGGCGAAGGCAGGUCUCUGGGCAUUAACUGACGCUGAGGAGCGAAAGCAUGGGGAGCGAACAGGAUUAGAUACCCUGGUAGUCCAUGCCGUAAACGUUGGGCACUAGGUGUGGGGGACAUUCCACGUUUUCCGCGCCGUAGCUAACGCAUUAAGUGCCCCGCCUGGGGAGUACGGCCGCAAGGCUAAAACUCAAAGGAAUUGAC
rnacentral:rRNA from 1 species